rnacentral:rRNA from 1 species
AUUGAACGCUGGCGGCAGGCCUAACACAUGCAAGUCGAGCGAGCGGCGGACGGGUGAGUAAUGUCUGGGGAUCUGCCUGAUAGAGGGGGAUAACUACUGGAAACGGUGGCUAAUACCGCAUACUAUCGGAUGUACCCAUAUGGGAUUAGCUAGUAGGUGGGGUAAAGGCUCACCUAGGCGACGAUCUCUAGCUGGUCUGAGAGGAUGACCAGCCACACUGGGACUGAGACACGGCCCAGAAUCCUACGGGAGGCAGCAGUGGGGAAUAUUGCACAAUGGGCGCAAGCCUGAUGCAGCCAUGCCGCGUGUAUGAAGAAGGCCUUAGGGUUGUAAAGUACUUUCAGCGGGGAGGCGUUACCCGCAGAAGAAGCACCGGCUAACUCCGUGCCAGCAGCCGCGGUAAUAC